rnacentral:ncRNA from 1 species
CUUAUCAAGAGCGGCGGAGGGAACAGGCCCGAUGAAGCCCGGCAACCGGUACGGAGCGUACAAGGUGCCAAAUCCUGCGGCGGUAAGCCGGCAGAUGAGG